AUAAUGAUACUUCUGCUUAGCCACAGUCUAAAGCAAUGGGAGCAGUUUUGUGAGAACCACAAGAAGGUGAAAUUCCUAUGG
ncrna:unclassified sequences pemK RNA